GGUGUAAUUUAGCCUUUUCACGUUAUCAGUUUUUUUUUUCUUAGCUUUUAGUCAGUACAGUUUUUUCCUUCACAGUUUCCCAACCUAUGGCCCGUGGGCCCUAAGAGGAUCACUGGUCCUUCUGUUAAGGACUGAGUUAACGGGUACAAAAUGAACGAUUUUAUCUAACAUUGUACCUAAAAACCUUUAAAAUGUUCUUUUCUGGGUAGAUCAUUCCUAUAUGCAAACAGGAUUAGUGAGCACAUUCUUUAUCACAGCGGUGUGUGUAUAACUUAUCUCGCAUUUCUCCUUUCUGUCUCGCUUCCCCCUCCUGCUGCUGGCGUCGCUGCAGCUGGUCCUCCCCCCGCCUCUCCUCCAGCUCCCUGUCAGUCCAACUGGCUCUGGUGUUGGAUUAUUUAUAAGUUGUCCAGACCGUCCCUUACUGAAUGUCCAGGUUGUCCACCAAUGAAACAAGCGAAAAACAGUUCAGUUUGCUGUCUUCUUCCAGUCCAAACGUCCAGCAGGACUCCAUACAGUAGUUUGCUGCAUGGCAGUUCCCAGAUGUCCAGGAAUCAGGAUCAGCGGACAUUUUAGUGCCUUUAGUGUCCAGGUGGCAGAAAUCAUCAUGUCCUUUUUCGCUUCUUUAUCAACUGUCAUUGGCUGGUGAUGAAGGAGGGACGUCUUCUGAUCUGGCAGGACAGGUUUGAGUUGAGGUCGGAGGUCAGACUCACCGCAGCGAGGCUCAGACAGAGGAAAAGGAAAGAAGCAAAUAAGAGUCCAUUAGGGUUUGUUCGGCUUUCUGUGUCUUUUUUCUUUUUACAAACAUUUUCCAUAUAACUUUUCUCUUGUGAUCGUAUAGUGUUUAGCCACUUAUUACCCAACAUUUUAAGAAAUCAUAAAUCCUUUCCUUAUUCAAACACAUAUAAACAUGAAACAUGUUAAAAGCUGUAGUCUCUUUUAACCUGUACAAUAUUAACCUUUAAAAUGUAAAAUGUAAGUUUAUGUUAACUUCAUCUGAGUCACGUCUCACCAGAGAACAAUGGAUUUCUCUAAAUUUGUCGAUCUUAGUGCUGCAGACUGUGAGGUCAGCGGGCAGCCCUCCUCUCAAGGCCUAAGAGAGACAUGAGGCUGGAUAAUGUCCAGGUCGGUACCUUACUCUGACCUCUGACCCCUCCAGUUAUACAGCCAAAGGAUCAUUUCACCAAGUUGGUGUUAUAAUCUGAUUACGACACAAUAUAUUAAACAUUGUUCUCUGGGGAGAAUUUUAUUAUUUAAUUUUAUUUUUCAGCUUCUCCUCCUUCAGGAAAGUCAUAAUUCCACUUUUAGCAUACAAAGAAGUUGUUCCCAUGUUUUUUAUUUCAGUGAGACGUCUCUCAACUGGUUUUUCUUUGAAAGUGUAGGAA